rnacentral:rRNA from 1 species
UGCAGUCGAACGAUGAACCACUUCGGUGGGGAUUAGUGGCGAACGGGUGAGUAACACGUGGGCAAUCUGCCCUUCACUCUGGGACAAGCCCUGGAAACGGGGUCUAAUACCGGAUACGACCACUACGGGCAUCCGUGGUGGUGGAAAGCUCCGGCGGUGAAGGAUGAGCCCGCGGCCUAUCAGCUUGUUGGUGAGGUAAUGGCUCACCAAGGCGACGACGGGUAGCCGGCCUGAGAGGGCGACCGGCCACACUGGGACUGAGACACGGCCCAGACUCCUACGGGAGGCAGCAGUGGGGAAUAUUGCACAAUGGGCGAAAGCCUGAUGCAGCGACGCCGCGUGAGGGAUGACGGCCUUCGGGUUGUAAACCUCUUUCAGCAGGGAAGAAGCGAAAGUGACGGUACCUGCAGAAGAAGCGCCGGCUAACUACGUGCCAGCAGCCGCGGUAAUACGUAGGGCGCAAGCGUUGUCCGGAAUUAUUGGGCGUAAAGAGCUCGUAGGCGGCUUGUCACGUCGAUUGUGAAAGCCCGAGGCUUAACCUCGGGUCUGCAGUCGAUACGGGCUAGCUAGAGUGUGGUAGGGGAGAUCGGAAUUCCUGGUGUAGCGGUGAAAUGCGCAGAUAUCAGGAGGAACACCGGUGGCGAAGGCGGAUCUCUGGGCCAUUACUGACGCUGAGGAGCGAAAGCGUGGGGAGCGAACAGGAUUAGAUACCCUGGUAGUCCACGCCGUAAACGG